GUGCUCACUUGGGCAGCACAUAUAUUAAAAUUGGAAUGGUCCAGAGAAGAUUAACAUGGUCCCUGUGCAAGGAUGACAUGAAAAUUCAUGAAGCAUUUAAUAUUUUU
rnacentral:snRNA from 1 species